rnacentral:rRNA from 1 species
CUGACCGUAAACGAUGCCAACUAGCGAUCCGCCGGCGGCUCUACGGCCCUGGUGGGGAGCUUCCCGGAAACGAAAGUCUUCCGGUUCCGGGGGAAGUAUGGUUGCAAAGCUGAAACUUAAAGGAAUUGACGGAAGGGCACCACCAGGAGUGGAGCCUGCGGCUUAAUUUGACUCAACGCGGGAAAACUCACCCGGCCCGGGACACCGUGAGGAUUGACAGAUUGAUAGCUUUUUCAUGAUUCGGUGGUUGGUGGUGCAUGGCCGUUCUUAGUUCGUGGAUCGAUUUGUCUGGUUUAUUCCGAUAACGAGCGAGACUCCAGCCUACUAACUAGUACGGGCAUUGCCUCUGUGCCCGGCACUUCUUAGAGGGAUUGGCUGCGUCUAGCGGCACGAAACGGAGCAAUAACAGGUCUGUGAUGCCCUUAGAUGUCCGGGGCUGCACGCGCGCUACACUGGCAAAGGCAGCGUGCUUGUCCGUCUCCGAAAGGAGCCGGUAAACCCUUGAAAAUUUGCCGUGAUUGGGAUCGGAAAUUGCAAUUAUUUUCCGUGAACGAGGAAUUCCUAGUAAGUGCGAGUCAUCAGCUCGCGUUG